CGGUGAGAUUGGGGCAUAGAUAAUAUCAGAAUUUAAAUACAUUUCCAAAUAUACAGGGCCACCCAUAUUGACAGGGUGAAACAAAAUUAUCUUUUGUUUAAUG
rnacentral:lncRNA from 1 species